ensembl:lncRNA ZFAS1 ZNFX1 antisense RNA 1
UUCUUUCGCGUCUGCGGUGCCCGGAGUGUGGUACUUCUCCUAGUUGCAGUCAGGCUUCAUACGCUAUUGUCCUGCCCGUAAGUUCCCGUUUUGUGUGUGGUUAGAGCAGCCAGCGGGUACAGAAUGGAUUUUGGAAGAGGGAGUCACCACUGGACCUCCAAGGAAGCCACGUGCAGACAUCUACAACCUUCGAUCUCCUGACGAGUUUAUUGUUGGCCAAAACCAGGCUUUGAUUGAACCAGGAUGAAUGCGGGUGUUGGAAGUAGAAUAUAUAUAUACAUAUAAAAUUGGUUGGGAGCCACGUGUACCAGUGUGUGUUGAUCUUGGCUUGAUUCAGUCUGCCUUGUAACAGAAACUGGCGAUGGAAUAUGAGAGGAGCCCUCUGGAAAGAAAAGGACAGACCCUGUGCUUUCAUGAAAGUGAAGAUCUGGCUGAACCAGUUCCACAAGGUUACUGUAUACAUAGCCUGAGUUUAAAAGGCUGUGCCCACUUCAAGAAUGUCAUUGUUAGACUUUGAAAUUUCUAACUGCCUACCUGCAUAAAGAAAAUAAAAUCUUUUAAAUCAAAA